rnacentral:rRNA from 1 species
UACGUAGGGUGCGAGCGUUGUCCGGAAUUAUUGGGCGUAAAGAGCUCGUAGGCGGUUGGGUAAGUCGGGUGUGAAAACUCCAGGCUCAACUUGGAGACGCCACCCGAUACUGCUCUGACUUGAGUUCGGUAGGGGAGUGGGGAAUUCCUGGUGUAGCGGUGAAAUGCGCAGAUAUCAGGAGGAACACCGGUGGCGAAGGCGCCACUCUGGGCCGAAACUGACGCUGAGGAGCGAAAGCGUGGGUAGCAAACAGG